rnacentral:rRNA from 1 species
UUAGGAAUCUUCCACAAUGGGCGAAAGCCUGAUGGAGCGACGCCGCGUGAGGGAUGAAGGCCUUAGGGUUGUAAACCUCUAAAAGAGGGACGAUAAUGACGGUACCUCUUGAAUAGCACCGGCUAACUCCGUGCCAGCAGCCGCGGUAAUACGGAGGGUGCAAGCGUUAUCCGGAAUCACUGGGCGUAAAGGGCGCGUAGGCGGUCUGUUAAGUCCGAUGUUAAAUCCCGGGGCUCAACCCCGGAUAAGCGUUGGAUACUGGCAGGCUAGACGGUUGGAGAGGCGAGUGGAAUUACCAGUGUAGCGGUGGAAUGCGUAGAUACUGGUAGGAACACCAAUUGCGAAGGCAGCUCGCUGGACAACACGUGACGCUGAGGCGCGAAAGUGUGGGGAGCAAACC